rnacentral:rRNA from 1 species
AGUGAACGCUGGCGGCGUGCCUAAUACAUGCAAGUCGAACGGAGAUUAAGUAGCUUGCUAUUUAAUCUUAGUGGCGCACGGGUGAGUAAUAUAUAGCUAACUUGCCCAUUACUAAGGGACAACAGUUGGAAACGACUGCUAAUACCUUAUACUCCGUAUCUAUAUAAGUAGAUACGGGAAAGUUUUUCGGUAAUGGAUAGGGCUAUAUCGUAUCAGCUAGUUGGUAAGGUAAUGGCUUACCAAGGCUAUGACGCGUAACUGGUCUGAGAGGAUGAUCAGUCACACUGGAACUGAGACACGGUCCAGACUCCUACGGGAGGCAGCAGUAGGGAAUAUUGCUCAAUGGGGGAAACCCUGAAGCAGCAACGCCGCGGGGAGGAUGACACUUUUCGGAGCGUAAACUCCUUUUCUUGGGAAAGAAUUAUGACGGUACCCAAGGAAUAAGCACCGGCUAACGCCG